AUACUCUCAACCUUCUUGGUUUCUUUGACCACGAAGGCUUGGACUUUGGAGGUUUUUCUUGCUGGCCUCUUUUGAAGCCAGCUCCUCCUAAAUGAAUGGGUGGGGUCCGCUUUGCUGAUCCUCGACGUGAUAAGCAUUUCUUCUACGUCUCAGUGUCAGCUCGGAACCCGCUUUCCAACCGUCUUUGGACAAAGACAAUGUUCGAGUUGUGACUCGACCUUACAAA
rnacentral:misc_RNA from 1 species